AUUCCCACUAGCAUUUGAUAGCACAGUAAAAGUACAUUAUCAGUUCUUAUCAGCUAUAAAUCGUAUACGUGACUCAUUGAGUCAUUACUGUAAUAAACUGAUAUUUGGUACUAGGCAAGAUGUCCUGGGCUUGAUCUGCUCUCGCCACAGGUCGACCCGGUAUUGCAUUCCUUCCGGCAAUGGCCCAAGUCAA
rfam:Biomphalaria glabrata isolate BB02 unplaced genomic scaffold LGTN_random_Scaffold1249, whole genome shotgun sequence.